rnacentral:rRNA from 1 species
UACAGAGGGUGCGAGCGUUGUUCGGAAUUAUUGGGCGUAAAGGGCGCGUAGGCGGUGCGGUAAGUCACUUGUGAAAUCUCCUGGCUCAACUGGGAGCUUGCAGGCGAAACUGCCGUGCUGGAGUGUGGGAGAGGUGCGUGGAAUUCCCGGUGUAGCGGUGAAAUGCGUAGAUAUCGGGGAGGAACACCGGGUGGCGAAGGCGGCCAUCUGGACCGGUUCUGACGCUGAGGCGCGAAAGCGUGGGGAGCAAACAGG